GGAAAGUCCCGUUAUUAUGGGUUUUGAAAGAGAAAGAGGAACAGCCACUCACUAACAGACCGCUGGAAAAGGAGGCCGAACACCUUUGGUCAGUCUGGAGCAAAGUACAACUUGAUGCACUACAAUAACCAGAUUCAGUCAAAGCUGUACAGUACAGAAAACAAACAGCUGCAACACAGUCCAUCAUUCAGG